AUAAUAUAAAUUGUACAGAGCACGUGCAGAUAUCUCUUAUUGCUUCCAGACAACCAUAUGCAUGGUUCAACACUUGGACCCUGGAGAUAAUGAGCUCCCUGGCUGUUUCCUAUCAGGAGAUGACCCAGCACUGAAAUGACGUGGUGUUUUGAUGCGAUAUGUUGCAUUCACUGUAAUGGAAUGUCCCACUAAUUAUCAAUACCCAACCCUGCGUGAUGUAUUGAAACAGAAAAUAACAAUGUGUGUCACAGGGUCUGAAGGAAAAAUGCAAACUUGAUGCCAUGAACUCACAGGAAAUAGUCAUGGGUUGCUAAUGUGUGGUGCAUGGACCCCUGACAUCUACCCAAAGGUGCUAUGGAUUCCAGAUGAAGAACUAAUAUAGUAGAGGGGGAUACAAAUUUGAACAAAUGUUUGAGAGACAAAAUCAUACAAGGUCAUCUGGAAGCCUUAUGUAAGGAUGAAAAUUAAAAACAACAUAGAGAUGAACAAUGAAAGUAUAGAAACUUUUAUGAUGAACUUUUCUCUAUAGAUUACAGUGAAAAUGCUGCAAUUUAGAUUCUAACAUCAGGGUUGCCAAUAUGCUAUUAGGAAAUGAAAAGAGAAGCUGGACUGGUCGAAGUAUACACAGAAUAAGUUUGUGAUGGAGGAAGCAAAACACCUUUGUGACAAAAAGUAUUGAAGGAUACAUUCUCAAGAUAGAUGGGGAAAAAAGGGAUAAUAACAAAAGUUUUGGGAAAAGUCACAGAUCUCAUUUAAAAAUGUAAGAGAAGAUAUAAAUAGCUGCCAACCCAAAUACCUAUUUCCUGUCUUUAAAAAAAUAAUAAAAAUAUCUCCUU
rnacentral:lncRNA from 1 species